rnacentral:rRNA from 1 species
UACGAAGGGGCUAGCGUUGCUCGGAAUCACUGGGCGUAAAGGGUGCGUAGGCGGGUCUUUAAGUCAGGGUGAAAUCCUGGAGCUCAACUCCAGAACUGCCUUUGAUACUGAAGAUCUUGAGUUCGGAGAGGUGAGUGGAACUGCGAGUGUAGAGGUGAAAUUCGUAGAUAUUCGCAAGAACACCAGUGGCGAAGGCGGCUCACUGGCCCGAUACUGACGCUGAGGCACGAAAGCGUGGGGAGCAACAGG